rnacentral:rRNA from 1 species
UACGGAGGAUGCGAGCGUUAUCCGGAUUUAUUGGGUUUAAAGGGUGCGCAGGCGGCGAGUUAAGUCAGCGGUAAAAUUUCGGGGCUCAACCCCGACAAGCCGUUGAAACUGGCUUGCUAGAGUGGGCGAGAAGUAUGCGGAAUGCGUGGUGUAGCGGUGAAAUGCAUAGAUAUCACGCAGAACUCCGAUUGCGAAGGCAGCGUACCGGCAUCCAACUGACGCUGAGGCACGAAAGCGUGGGGAUCAAACAGG